rnacentral:rRNA from 133 species
AACAAGGUCUCCGUUGGUGAACCAGCGGAGGGAUCAUU